UACGUAGGGUCCGAGCGUUGUCCGGAAUUAUUGGGCGUAAAGAGCUCGUAGGCGGUUUGUCGCGUCUGCUGUGAAAUCCCGAGGCUCAACCUCGGGCCUGCAGUGGGUACGGGCAGACUGGAGUGCGGUAGGGGAGAAUGGAAUUCCUGGUGUAGCGGUGAAAUGCGCAGAUAUCAGGAGGAACACCGAUGGCGAAGGCAGGUCUCUGGGCUGUAACUGACGCUGAGGAGCGAAAGCAUGGGGAGCGAACAGG
rnacentral:rRNA from 1 species